GACGAACGCUGGCGGCGUGCCUAAUACAUGCAAGUCGAACGCAGUGGGGACGGGUGAGUAACACGUGGGUAACCUCCCAUCAGAGGGGAUAACACUUGGAAACAGGUGCUAAACCGAUACUGAAUGAGGGACCCGCGGUGCAUUAGCUAGUUGGUGAGGUAACGGCUCAAAAAGGCCACGAUGCAUAGCCUACCUGAGAGGGUGAUCGGCCACACUGGGACUGAGCCACGGCCCAGACUCCUACGGGAGGCAGCAGGAGGUAAUCUGCGGCAAUGGACGAAAGUCUGACCGAGCAACGCCUCGUGAGUGAAGAAUGUUUGCGGAGCGUAAAACUCUGUUGUUAGAGAAGCCUUCUCUACCCAGAAAGCCACGGCUAACUACGUGCCAGCAGCCGCGGUAAUUC
rnacentral:rRNA from 1 species